AUUGAACGCUGGCGGCAGGCCUAACACAUGCAAGUCGAACGAGUGGCGGACGGGUGAGUAAUGUAUGGGCAACUGCCUGAUGGAGGGGGAUAACUACUGGAAAAGGUAGCUAAUACCGCAUACCAUCGGAUGUGCCCAGAUGGGAUUAGCUAGGUGGUGGGGUAAAGGCUCACCUAGGCGAAGAUCCCUAGCUGGUCUGAGAGGAUGACCAGCCACACUGGAACUGAGACACGGUCCAGCCUCCUACGGGAGGCAGCAGUGGGGAAUAUUGCACAAUGGGCGCAAGCCUGAUGCAGCCAUGCCGCGUGUAUGAAGAAGGCCUGCGGGUUGUAAAGUACUUUCAGCGGGGAAGCGUUACCCGCAGAAGAAGCACCGGCUAACUCCGUGCCAGCAGCCGCGGUAAUAC
rnacentral:rRNA from 1 species